UGAUGGAAAGGAGAGGCUAGAGCGACGAGGUGGUUGUAAUGUCAACUGGAAGGGUGUCCCCAUCCACCAUGAGAAAAGCUCUGAAUACAGCUGAAAUGGACAAGCUGAUGGCCUUGGCACACAUAUGGAAUGGCAGAACUCAGACAAGUUAAUGAAAAGCCUGGGAAGUCACCCCAAACAGGAGAAAGGUACAUAGACAGGAGCUUCUGGUGAACCAUCACAUCUGGUUGGCGAGAUGUGUUCAGCUUGAUGGGUCUCUAUCUUUUGUUCUGGUCCAUGCUACAUUUUGCUCAUUAUUGCUUUGACUGGAGGUUAGAUGGUGACAGAGCCGCUUUGUAAAGGGAAUGCUUACCCAGCAGCCACAACAAAAGUCCUUGGAGGAACCUUCAUAUAAUCAUGGAUAAGUUGUAACUAAGGGCAAAGAAAAAUAAGCACCCUUCUGUGAACCGGUCAUUUGUGGAAGGUUUUUGCUGUGCAGAAUUUUGAGGGAACCAGGAAGAAAAAAAGUUGAUUGGAUCCUGUCCCCUUCCCUCCUUCCCCAGUGGGUAUAUCUAUGGGUUAGAUAUGAGGGUGCCAACUGACCAGGAAGAAAAAAACAGCUUGGCCACUCAUGUGCCUUUAACAGCAGCUUGAUCUGCAGAAGCUUUUCACAGCAUGGAGAUAAACAUAACCUGCUAACUGCUGCAAAUCAAGCUGCUGUUGAAGGCUCAGCUACAAGGACGAAUUGCAAACUUGGUAACCCCAUGAUAAGAAAACUAGCAGUGCUGGUGUGGUGAAACUGGGCACAUCUACGCUACAAGUUUCAACCUGUUUUUAACCAAUAUAACUGUAUUCCCUGGUCCUGGGAGCUUCAGUUCCCAGGGUUCCUUGUUUCAUUUCACAGGGUUCCUUGUUCAGAAGCCAUGUCAUUUAAAAACCGUGUGGAACUGGCAGUACUGCACGUGUGCCCUGGGAGAGCAAAAGGAUUUAUUGUGUCAGCCUUUGUGGUUAACAACCUGUUUUACCAGAUAA